UACGAAGGGGGCGAGCGUUGUUCGGAAUCACUGGGCGUAAAGGGCGCGUAGGCGGCCCUCUUAGUCGCGUGUGAAAGCCCCGGGCUCAACCUGGGAACGGCGCGCGAAACGGGAGGGCUGGAGUUCGGGAGAGGAGAGUGGAAUUCCCAGUGUAGAGGUGAAAUUCGUAGAUAUUGGGAAGAACACCGGUGGCGAAGGCGGCAUCCUGGACCGGUAUUGACACUGAGGCGCGAAAGCCAGGGGAGCAAACGGG
rnacentral:rRNA from 1 species